rnacentral:misc_RNA from 1 species
UCCGAGUUGACCCCGGCAGUCUCCCAUGAGUCCCCGGCAUAACCCGCUGGCAACAUGGGACGAGGGUUGCGCUCGUUGCGGGACUUAACCCAACAUCUCACGACACGAGCUGACGACAACCAUGCACCACCUGUACACCGACCUUGCGGGGAGCACAUCUCUGCACUUUUCCGGUGUAUGUCAAGCCUUGGUAAGGUUCUUCGCGUUGCAUCGAAUUAAACCACAUGCUCCACCGCUUGUGCAGGCCCCCGUCAAUUCCUUUGAGUUUUAACCUUGCGGCCGUACUCCCCAGGCGGAUGACUUAAUGCGUUAGCUGCGCCACCCAAUCACUAAGUGACCGGACACCUAGUGUCCAUCGUUUACGGCGUGGACUAC